GAUGAACGCUAGCGGCAGGCUUAACACAUGCAAGUCGAGGGGUAUAGGUUUUCGGACCUAGAGACCGGCGCACGGGUGCGUAACGCGUAUGCAAUCUACCUUUCACAGAGGGAUAGCCCAGAGAAAUUUGGAUUAAUACCUCAUAGUAUUAUGAAGUGGCAUCAUUUUAUAAUUAAAGUUCCAACGGUGAAAGAUGAGCAUGCGUCCCAUUAGCUAGAUGGUAAGGUAACGGCUUACCAUGGCGACGAUGGGUAGGGGUCCUGAGAGGGAGAUCCCCCACACUGGUACUGCGACACGGACCAGACUCCUACGGGAGGCAGCAGUGAGGAAUAUUGGUCAAUGGACGCAAGUCUGAACCAGCCAUGCCGCGUGCAGGAUGACGGUCCUAUGGAUUGUAAACUGCUUUUGUACGAGAAGAAACACUCCUUUGUGAAGGAGCUUGACGGUAUCGUAAGAAUAAGGAUCGGCUAACUCCGUGCCAGCCGCCGCAGUAAGAC
rnacentral:rRNA from 1 species